rnacentral:rRNA from 1 species
UACGGAGGGGGCUAGCGUUGUUCGGAAUUACUGGGCGUAAAGCGCACGUAGGCGGCUUCGCAAGUCAGAGGUGAAAGCCCGGGGCUCAACCCCGGAACUGCCUUUGAGACUGCGUCGCUCGAAUCCGGUAGAGGCGGGUGGAAUUCCGGGUGUAGAGGUGAAAUUCGUAGAGAUUGGGAGGAACACCAGUGGCGAAGGCGGCCCGCUGGACCAGCAUUGACGCUGAGGUGCGAAAGCGUGGGGAGCAAACAGG